AGAGAGAGACAUGCGCGCAUAUCAAUAAGCGGAGGAAAAGAAACUAACUAGGAUUCCCUCAGUAACGGCGAGUGAAGCGGGAAGAGCUCAAAUUUGAAAUCUUCAAGGGUUCUACCUUUACGAAUUGUAGUUUAAAGAAGUGUUUUCUGUUGAGGUUUUGGUAAAAGUUCUUUGGAAUAGGACAUCAUAGAGGGUGAGAAUCCCGUAUUUGACCAUUAUUUCCAGCUUUGUGAUACACUUUCAAAGAGUCGGAUUGUUUGGGAAUGCAGUCCAAAAUGGGUGGUAAAUUUCAUCUAAAGCUAAAUAUUGGCGAGAGACCGAUAGCGAACAAGUACCGUGAGGGAAAGAUGAAAAGAACUUUGAAAAGAGAGUUAAACAGUACGUGAAAUUGUCAAAAGGGAAGCGUUUGACACCAGUGUUGUUUUCUCGAAAAUCAAUUAAAAAAGGCAGGAUUUUGUGUUGUAUUGACUUUAUCAGCUUUCUGCACUCUUUUCUUGUCUUUUUUUAAUGCACUUUUCGUUUAACAAGUCAACAUCAAUUUCUUUUGUUGUAAAAGGGUCAUUGGAAGGUGGCUUUCUUUUCGGAGAAAGUGUUUAUAGCCUUUGGCCUCUGCAAUCGGAGAGAUUGAGGUCUGCAGCGUAGAUCCUUCGGGGUUAGAUACAUUUGUGCUAAGUUAUAGCCUUUUCAUAGACAACUUGUUGACUAUGAUCAGUCAUGUAGCUUACUCGCCUAUGCUAUUUUACCUACGCUUAGGAUGUUGAUGUGAUACUGCGAGC
rnacentral:rRNA from 1 species